GACGAACGCUGGCGGCGUGCCUAAUACAUGCAAGUUGAGCGAUGAAGAUUGGUGCUUGCCCCAAUUUGAAGAGCAGCGAACGGGUGAGUAACGCGUGGGGAAUCUGCCUUUGAGCGGGGGACAACAUUUGGAAACGAAUGCUAAUACCGCAUAACAACUUUAAACAUAAGUUUUAAGUUUGAAAGAUGCAAUUGCAUCACUCAAAGAUGAUCCCGCGUUGUAUUAGCUAGUUGGUGAGGUAAAGGCUCACCAAGGCGAUGAUACAUAGCCGACCUGAGAGGGUGAUCGGCCACAUUGGGACUGAGACACGGCCCAAACUGCUACGGGAGGCAGCAGUAGGGAAUCUUCGGCAAUGGACGAAAGUCUGACCGAGCAACGCCGCGUGAGUGAAGAAGGUUUUCGGAUCGUAAAACUCUGUUGGUAGAGAAGAACGUUGGUGAGAGUGGAAAGCUCAUCAAGUGACGGUAACUACCCAGAAAGGGACGGCCAACUACGUG
rnacentral:rRNA from 1 species